rnacentral:rRNA from 1 species
CCCUUAGAUGUCCUGGGCCGCACGCGUGCUACACUGACGCAUACAGCGAGUACUCCCGGCUCCGCAAUGGCAGCCGGUAAUCAUCAAUAUGCGUCGUGAUGGGGAUAGAUCUCUGGAAUUUUUGAUCUUGAACGAGGAAUGCCUAGUAAGCGCAGGUCAUCAGCCUGCGUUGAUUAAGUCCCUGCCCUUUGUACACACCGCCCGUCGCUCCUACCGAUUUCGAGUGGUCCGGUGAACCUUUCGGACCGGGAGCAGCCUCGUGCUGCGCCUGGAAAGUCAAGUAAACCACAUCACUUAGAGGAAGGAGAAGUCGUAACA